rnacentral:hammerhead_ribozyme from 1 species
AUCCAGCUGACGAGUCCCAAAUAGGAGGAAACACUCUUUGUCCUAAAU